AGAUUAAGUUAUUAAGGGCGCACGGUGGAUGCCUUGGCACUAGAAGCCGACGAAGGACGUUACUAACGACGAUAUGCUUUGGGUAGCUGUAAGUAAGCGUUGAUCCAGAGAUUUCCGAAUGGGGGAACCCAGCACGAGUUAUGUCGUGUUAUCGACAAGUGAAUUCAUAGCUUGUCAGAAGGCAGACCCGGAGAACUGAAACAUCUUAGUACCCGGAGGAAGAGAAAGAAAAAUCGAUUCCCUGAGUAGCGGCGAGCGAAACGGGAAGAGCCCAAACCAAUAAGCUUGCUUAUUGGGGUUGUAGGACACUCUAUACGGAGUUACAAAGGAAUAUAUUAGACGAAUCAUCUGGAAAGUUGAAUCAAAGAAGGUAAUAAUCCUGUAGUUGAAAAUAUAUUCUCUCUUGAGUGGAUCCUGAGUACGACGGAGCACGUGAAAUUCCGUCGGAAUCUGGGAGGACCAUCUCCUAAGGCUAAAUACUCUCUAGUGACCGAUAGUGAACCAGUACCGUGAGGGAAAGGUGAAAAGUACCCCGGAAGGGGAGUGAAAGAGAACUUGAAACCGUGUGCUUACAAGUAGUCAGAGCCCGUUAAUGGGUGAUGGCGUGCCUUUUGUAGAAUGAACCGGCGAGUUACGAUCUGAUGCAAGGUUAAGCAGGAAAUGUGGAGCCGUAGCGAAAGCGAGUCUGAAUAGGGCGUUGAGUAUUUGGUCGUAGACCCGAAACCAGGUGAUCUACCCAUGGUCAGGUUGAAGUUCAGGUAACACUGAAUGGAGGACCGAACCGACUUACGUUGAAAAGUGAGCGGAUGAACUGUGGGUAGCGGAGAAAUUCCAAUCGAACUUGGAGAUAGCUGGUUCUCUCCGAAAUAGCUUUAGGGCUAGCCUCAAGUGAUGAUUAUUGGAGGUAGAGCACUGUUUGGACGAGGGGCCCCUCUCGGGUUACCGAAUUCAGACAAACUCCGAAUGCCAAUUAAUUUAACUUGGGAGUCAGAACAUGGGUGAUAAGGUCCGUGUUCGAAAGGGAAACAGCCCAGACCACCAGCUAAGGUCCCAAAAUAUAUGUUAAGUGGAAAAGGAUGUGGCGUUGCCCAGACAACUAGGAUGUUGGCUUAGAAGCAGCCAUCAUUUAAAGAGUGCGUAAUAGCUCACUAGUCGAGUGACACUGCGCCGAAAAUGUACCGGGGCUAAACAUAUUACCGAAGCUGUGGAUUGUCCGUAGGACAAUGGUAGGAGAGCGUUCUAAGGGCGUUGAAGCAUGAUCGCAAGGACAUGUGGAGCGCUUAGAAGUGAGAAUGCCGGUGUGAGUAGCGAAAGACGGGUGAGAAUCCCGUCCACCGAUUGACUAAGGUUUCCAGAGGAAGGCUCGUCCGCUCUGGGUUAGUCGGGUCCUAAGCUGAGGCCGACAGGCGUAGGCGAUGGAUAACAGGUUGAUAUUCCUGUACCACCUAACAUCGUUUUAAUCGAUGGGGGG
rnacentral:rRNA from 1 species